rnacentral:rRNA from 1 species
GGGACGGGUGAGUAAUGCCUAGGAAUCUGCCUGGUAGUGGAGGACAACGUUUCGAAAGGAACGCUAAUACCGCAUACGUCCUACGGGAGAAAGCAGGGACCUUCGGGCCUUGCGCUAUCAGAUGAGCCUAGGUCGGAUUAGCUAGUUGGUGAGGUAAUGGCUCACCAAGGCGACGAUCCGUAACUGGUCUGAGAGGAUGAUCAGUCACACUGGAACUGAGACACGGUCCAGACUCCUACGGGAGGCAGCAGCU